CCUGGUUCAGAUCCGGGUUUAUGGAGUAGAUCUGUGUUGUUCCCGGUGAGGGUAGUGACGCUAGAGGACGGCGUUUGCUCUUUGCUGUGGCUACUUCCAGUUUUGCUCCGGCGACUUUGUCUAGGAGAUUUUUUUUUUUAGAUCUCGUUAAGCUUUUCGGUUUGGCGGCGCGUGGUUCGUCGGGGAGGCCUCUUGGUCUCAGAUCUGGGUUGCUUGCAACUCUGGUGAUUCUCUCUGUCUUUGUCUCCUCCGGUGGUCUUCGGGGGAAGUGCGUGGAGUCCUUGAGUGGGUGAGUCUCUCUCCUGCUUUGAGGUUGCUCCGGUGGCAGCGCGUGGUGUUGCUUUGGCCAUCGUCUCGUUACUGGUGGUUUGCUCGCCUCAAAGUUAGAGGUUCCGUCGUUGUGGCGUCCACCGUCGCCAAGCUUCUCUCCUUGUGCUAAUUCCAGCGUGCUACUAGCUGAAGGCAGGGCUUCGAAGUAGGUUCCGAUGGAGGUAGGUUUUCAGUUAAGCUCUCGGUCUUCUCUCUAACUCGGUUGUGGCUGCUCCAAAGGUGGUGUGCUGUUCGGUCCGCUUGCUCUAUAUGGGCUCUCGGUUCAACGGGUGUAUACGGUCCCGGUGAGGGCCUUGAAGGCGGCAAUCUUCGAGUCUUAAACCGUACGACGGCAUCGUCGGAUAGUCCCACUGCCUCGUGCCGCUGGUGUAUGUCAAUGUCAGGUUGGUUUGUGAGUUCGUGCUUGUGAUUCUUGGAGUGGUUCGCGAUUCGCUGGCUUGCCGGAAGCUGUAGGUACCCUGCUUCAAGGUUUGAGCCGCCUUUCUCUCGGACUCGUGGCAACUGGCUUGCUCCUGCGGUUCCCUGGUCUGAGCUUUGCUUCGCUGGUCUCCGUCUCCAAACGUCUUUGUUUCUCGUCUCUGUUUAAGCUAGUGUUGUUGUGAUUGGCAUUGAUGUUUAGUUUAAUUUCAGUAAUUCUGCUUCUAGUUAAUCUAUUGUAAUGUCUGUCAAAAACUAAAAAUUGGUAUAAUAAAUUUAACAUUUUACCAAAAAAAAAAAAAAAAAAAAAAAAAACAUCCAUGGAUGUUUAUACUCUUAAAAACAUUAUGUCGAAUCACUUGACACAUGCAUAGAGUUUUAAGUUUUAACUAAUAAACGCUUUUUAGCCACGAUAAACUUCAAGUUAAGUACCAUCACGUUGUUUGACAAAAAAAAAAAAGUACCAUCACGUUUUCUAACAGUUUUGUUGAGUAGGUUCAAUAUAACGGUCAACAUAUUGCACUUUUAUUAUUAUAGGAUCGCAUCUUAAAUUAUAUAUUUUGAAAUGUACAUAUGUAUAGACAUAUAGUAUAUGGUUUAAAUUUUCAAAUGGAUCAGCGUAUAAUUAAUGAAAUAUAGUAGUAUCAUCAAGUUGUGUAGACAACUAGUAUGUCUAUUUAUAAUACUAUAAUGUAUAUGUACUCGAAAGAUAAUUUAAUAAGGGGUGGAGGGUGGGGGCUAUUGUCUGUGGAUAAGCUAUAUAUGGUG
rnacentral:lncRNA from 1 species